UAUAGCUCAACGGCAGAGCGCAUGCUUAGUGUGCAUAAGGUCCUGGGUUCAAUCCCUGGUA
rnacentral:tRNA from 1 species